AAGCGACUUCGCGGGAAACUGGCUGGCAGCUGGCGCUAUAUAAGUAAAGCAGGCACCGUGCCUGGCCAGUGCUUAGGCAGCUCUCGCGCCACGAUGUGAUGUGAGUUAAAAUCAUGAAGCGACUUCGCGGGAAACUGGCUGGCAGCUGGCGCUAUAUAAGUAAAGCAGGCACCGUGCCUGGCCAGUGCUUAGGCAGCUCUCGCGCCACGAUGUGAUGUGAGUUAAAAGUCAUGAAGCGACUUCGCGGGAAACUGGCUGGCAGCUGGCGCUAUAUAAGUAAAGCAGGCACCGUGCCUGGCCAGUGCUUAGGCAGCUCUCGCGCCACGAUGUGAUGUGAGUUAAAAUCAUGAAGCGACUUCGCGGGAAACUGGCUGGCAGCUGGCGCUAUAUAAGUAAAGCAGGCACCGUGCCUGGCCAGUGCUUAGGCAGCUCUCGCGCCACGAUGUGAUGUGAGUUAAAAGUCAUGAAGCGACUUCGCGGGAAACUAGCUGGCAGCUGGCGCUAUAUAAAUAAAGCAGGCACCGUGCCUGGCCAGUGCUUAGGCAGCUCUCGCGCCACGAUGUGAUGUGAGUUAAAAGUCAUGAAGCGACUUCGCGGGAAACUGGCUGGCAGCUGGCGCUAUAUAAGUAAAGCAGGCACCGUGCCUGGCCAGUGCUUAGGCAGCUCUCGCGCCACGAUGUGAUGUGAGUUAAAAUCAUGAAGCGACUUCGCGGGAAACUGGCUGGCAGCUGGCGCUAUAUAAGUAAAGCAGGCACCGUGCCUGGCCAGUGCUUAGGCAGCUCUCGCGCCACGAUGUGAUGUGAGUUAAAAGUCAUGAAGCGACUUCGCGGGAAACUGGCUGGCAGCUGGCGCUAUAUAAGUAAAGCAGGCACCGUGCCUGGCCAGUGCUUAGGCAGCUCUCGCGCCACGAUGUGAUGUGAGUUAAAAGUCAUGAAGCGACUUCGCGGGAAACUAGCUGGCAGCUGGCGCUAUAUAAAUAAAGCAGGCACCGUGCCUGGCCAGUGCUUAGGCAGCUCUCGCGCCACGAUGUGAUGUGAGUUAAAAGUCAUGAAGCGACUUCGCGGGAAACUAGCUGGCAGCUGGCGCUAUAUAAAUAAAGCAGGCACCGUGCCUGGCCAGUGCUUAGGCAGCUCUCGCGCCACGAUGUGAUGUGAGUUAAAAGUCAUGAAGCGACUUCGCGGGAAACUGGCUGGCAGCUGGCGCUAUAUAAGUAAAGCAGGCACCGUGCCUGGCCAGUGCUUAGGCAGCUCUCGCGCCACGAUGUGAUGUGAGUUAAAAUCAUGAAGCGACUUCGCGGGAAACUAGCUGGCAGCUGGCACUAUAUAAGUAAAGCAGGCACCGUGCCUGGCCAGUGCUUAGGCAGCUCUCGCGCCACGAUGUGAUGUGAGUUAAAAGUCAUGAAGCGACUUCGCGGGAAACUAGCUGGCAGCUGGCGCUAUAUAAAUAAAGCAGGCACCGUGCCUGGCCAGUGCUUAGGCAGCUCUCGCGCCACGAUGUGAUGUGAGUUAAAAUCAUGAAGCGACUUCGCGGGAAACUAGCUGGCAGCUGGCGCUAUAUAAAUAAAGCAGGCACCGUGCCUGGCCAGUGCUUAGGCAGCUCUCGCGCCACGAUGUGAUGUGAGUUAAAAGUCAUGAAGCGACUUCGCGGGAAACUGGCUGGCAGCUGGCACUAUAUAAGUAAAGCAGGCACCGAAGAAAAUUCUGCUUUGUUCACAAUUUAUCACCACUUAUCAGUACCAAUAAUACAGCUCUCUUCAAAUAAACCACUUUUUCUUGAUCUAAUACAUAACAAUAAUUAUUAUUUAUAAAAUAUUUUCGC